CAGUCGGCAGCCGGCGGGCAGAAGUCAGAAACCCCGGGACCCAGUGAGAGGCAAGCUCGGAGGAGGAGGAAGGAGGCCUCGGGGGCGGGGCUCCAGGGGCGCGGAGGGGCGGCUCCCCAGGUGGGGUGAUCGGCUCUCCUGAGGAUGAGUCCGUGGCCUUCGUGGGAACCAGCCGGUCCCAGGGCCACGCUGCCACGUCUCCGCAGAACUUAGGAGACUGCUGGGAGUCCUCUCCAGCAAGGGCAGGUGGGGAACACGCAGCUGCCCCCAACCUGCCUUCCGGUUGUUCCUUACAGGUGUGGGGUGAUGGAGGACCAGAGAGCGCACCAAGCUCCGAGUGGCCUGCGCGCCCUGCUGCGCCCCCAGGGAGAGCGCUGAAUGCCGGAUCUGCUAGUCCACACACACACACACACACACACACACACACACGCAACCCCCUACGGCGAGAUGCGCAGGACAUCCCUCAUCAGCCCCUUUAAAGAAGCCGAGGCCCAGGUUAGGACUGGAGCGAUCCGGUUCCUGUUGGUGCGCUCUCUGCUGCUCGCAUCCGGCUGCCUCUCAGAGGGCAGCGCCAGCUCUUUUGUGACCCUGUGGUCCUGAGGCCGCGUCACAGACACAAGGCGGGAGACCACGCCCACUGCACUAACUUCGUGGCCUCCCAGGCCCCAGAAGCUGCUCCAGGCCCGAGUCUCUGCGUUUAUGCAUUCCUGCUGCAAACCGGCUCCCUCCGGCUGAGGACAACGCUGGGGGCUUGGGAUUAACAGCCUUUUCCUGCCUACUUCUCUCUGCUGAGCCAUGCCCCUCACAUGCAAGUUUAUCAUGAGAGAGUUCCAGGGCUCAGACCCCCCAGGAAGUGACAGCGCCACCCAGUGAACAGAAGAGGAAGGCCACGCUCAGGCUGAGCCACUGGCUCAGGUCCUGGAGCCUGGGAGGGGCAGAGUCAGGACUUCAAUUCUUGUCUGCUUGGCUCCAAAGGCUGCUCCUUUGCCGGUCCCUUUAAUCCAAGAGGCACGAAAGACCACUAGCUGUGUGGGAAGGUCUGCGAGGCAUCAUCAGUCACCCGAACCUGCGCCUGCCUUUCUAGAACCCACUCAUCCUCCAUGAGGUGGAAUAGCAGUAGAGGAGUCAUGCACAAGGUGCCACAUAGUGGGGCAGAGGGAAAGGAAAGGUGCACGUAUUGAGUGCUGACUGUAUACCAGGGCCUGUGCUCAGCAUUUUCACAUGAACCUUCUGUCCCUGCACCGUCAAGUGGGAAUGAAUUAGGAUUCAGUCCAGUUUAAAAUACAUUUCCUGGUACUAGCCGCACUUCAAGUGCUUGAAAGCCAUGGUGGCUACUGGCUACCACACCGGGCAGCAGAGGCGGGGCCACGGAAUGCUCUAACGGAUAGCACUGGUCCAGAGUGGAAACCCCAGGAGGGCAUGUGCUCGGCUUGCUUUCUGUACCUCCGGAUCACACGGCACAUUGCAGACCCCCAAGAGCUACACGAGUCAAAUGAAAACACGCAUGCACACACAUGUGCUUCCAAAAGUUCAUGGAAAAUGACGUAAAAAUCUAACUUUGGUUUGUUGGAAAAAAAUUCAAAAUGCAUGUGGUUUUUCAUAGUACCCAUUUUCCAUGAACCUGUAAAAGACUUCCUGUAUGCAGGAUUUCAACAUUUUUUGCAUCAAAAUAAAUUUACUUUGUAAUUUUAUUUUUCCACAACCUUUUCAAAGUACUCUCAUACAGAAGUAUUAAAAAAAAUGUCCUUGGCCAGCACCGUGGCUCACUAGGCUAAUCCUCCACCUGCAGCACCGGUACCCCGGGUUCUAGUCCUGGUUGGGGCACAGGUUCUGUCCCGGUUGCUCCUCUUCCAGUCCAGCUCUCUGCUGUGGCCCGGGAGGGCAGUGGAGGAUGGCCCAGGUCCUUGGGCCCUGCACCCGCAUGGGAGACCAGGAGGAAGCACCUGGUUCCUGGCUUCACAUCAGCACAGCGCCAGCCAUAGUGGCCACUUGGGGGGUGAACCAACAGAAAAGGAAGACCUCUCUCUCUCUCUCACUAUCUAACUUCUUGAAAAAAAAAAAAAAAAAAAAAGCAAUGUCCACUACUCACCCUGUAUAUGUAGUGAUAACUUUCCAUAAAAAUACAAAGGAAAAGGAAAAGAGGCAGUGGGGUGUGCCUGGACUCCCCUGCAGGCAGCACAUUUUGGGAGCAGGCUGCAUUGGUGGGAGGGAAGGUCAUUAUAACAGCCACCAUUCACUGUCACUCCAGCUCAACAUAUUAGGGGACCUCAAAGAGUUCACGAAACAAUGGAAUGGAGACACCUUUAUUUUGGUGUCAAAAAUUUCACCACUCACGCAGAUAAGGGGUCUUCAAAAAGUCCACCGGAAAUGCAUAUUAUGAAAAAACCAUGAUGGAUUUCAAAACGUUUUUGCCCCCAAAGAAGCUUAUCUUUUCCUUCUGGUUCCCCGUGUGUGUUUGAAGUGCACUCAGAUUUAUAAUACUUUUGUAAUUUAAUGGCUCCCGACAACAGCUCUGUAAGAUGAGGCUCUUAUCCCCAUUUUAUAGACGAGGAGACUGAGGCUCAGAAAGGCUGCAUAGCCUACUUAGUCUCACACAGCAGGUGAACUCAGGAGGGCUCAGAGCCCACACUGUCACCCACCACAGAGCUUGCAUUCCAUUUCCUCCCUGUACAGGGAGUCUGCCUCGCUCCAGGCAGUUUUCAAAUUUGGGGUGAAUUGACCCCCUCCCCCAGGCAGGCAGAUCUUCAGUUCCGGUUUGAUACCCCAAGUCCAGCAGUCUUUGUCACCCAUCCGCCACACCUGGCCUGGAGGUGAGCCGCAGGCCAGGUCCGCCUCUCCACGCGGAGGAAAAUGACUCUUCCCCGCCCCCUUGUGGCCAGGUGUGGCAUGAGCUCAGAGAAACAGGGCAGCCCCUUACAGCAAUCAAGGGUGGUCCUGGAAAAGCAGACCCAGCAGGAAGCUCUGCAGUCCUAGGGUGUGGGCUUCAGGUGGCGAUGACUUGUCCAGGUGGCCCUGGUUGCAGGGACACCAUGACUCGGUACUUUUCGCCUGGAGAAAAAAGCAACUUGCCUCUCCUUCAAGAACUCCCGCCUGGAAGUUCCCAGGCUGUUUCUUUUCCUAAUGGCCCUUUUCUCGCUUAUUUAUUUAUUGUCUAUAUUUGAUUAAAAAGAAUUCUAUUCUCAGGAGUCCCCCUCCUCCCACAGGUCACUUUCCACAGGCUCGAUUUAAUUAACGAGAGCUGACUUGAAGAUGAAAGGUAAGAAACAAAAGGUCUUCCUUAUCCAAUCUGAGCCCAAAUAAAAUCAUAUUAACAUUUCACCUUUUGUUCCUGUGCGAGAGGAGCCGUUGGUGCAUUGUAUCAAAGUUAUUGAAAUCAUUAGGAAGGAAAGAAAAGAAGAGAGAUAGCUGUGGCCGUGCUUCUUGGAAAUCCCCACCCCCACCCUCGUCCUCAUAGGAGAGAAAAAGGAAGAGAAAGAGGAAAGGGGAGAGGAGAGAGAGAGAGAGAGGCGUGCAGUGACAAUGCUGCGUUGUAAGCCUCGCUUCAAAGUCAAGUUAGGAAAAGGAAAAAUCAUUUGGCAGAAAAGAAUACCCUAGCACUGCUGCUCCAGGCAGGUGACAUGCCUCCCGGUGAGCCCUGUGGGCGCACAGGCCUGCUGCUGCUUCCUCAGCCUCUCCCCAGCCCCUAGAAACCUGCCCGGCACGCGGCAACCACUCGCGACACACUUGCUGCGUACGGGAAUAAAAAUCCAGGCAAGCCGGCUCUCAAGGAGUCUGACCUGGGCUCCACGUGGGUGCAAGAGGCAAAGCCGUGGCUCCUCCCUGAGUCUGCAAACAGCAAACCGCUCUGCUCUGGGCAGCAGGGGAAGAGGCAGCUGGCUUCUGCACCUUGCCUGUCCCAAAUGCUUAUCACGCCACAGCACUCUGCACCUUCCUGCCGGAGCUUCUGAGGCCGUGAGGAAACAGUGUGCCCCCCACACCCCCAUCCCGGGGCCCCUGCACCAGAUAAAGGCACCAGGUGUGAGCAGCUGCAAUGGAGAAAUCAUCAAGGCCCUGGCAGAUCAGCCCUCUCACUGACUCAGGGCUUGUCCGCGCAGAGCGCCCGGCCCUGCGCCCUGGAGGCGGGAGUCCCUCAGCUCGCACAGGUGUCUGUGCUCCGGCAGCAUGGGCUAAUUAAGAGCUUGUCUUCCACCUGCAAGAGGAGAGCGAUGUGAGUUCCUAAGGUUGUGUGUGACGGUGUCUGCAGGGUGGGAAAAGCUGAUUCAUCCCAGUUAGGAAACAACAAGGAAAUCUCCACAAGCCUGGAGCCCAGAGAGGCGAGCCUGGAUGACUUCUGUGUGUAUGUAGGUGUAUUUCAUUCGA